rnacentral:rRNA from 1 species
AUACGUAGGGUGCGAGCGUUGUCCGGAAUUACUGGGCGUAAAGAGCUCGUAGGUGGUUUGUCGCGUCGUCUGUGAAAUUCCGGGGCUUAACUCCGGGCGUGCAGGCGAUACGGGCAUAACUUGAGUACUGUAGGGGAGACUGGAAUUCCUGGUGUAGCGGUGAAAUGCGCAGAUAUCAGGAGGAACACCGGUGGCGAAGGCGGGUCUCUGGGCAGUAACGGACGCUGAGGAGCGAAAGCAUGGGUAGCGAACAGGAUUAGAUACCCUGGUAGUCCAUGCCGUAAACGGUGGGCGCUAGGUGUAGGGGUCUUCCACGACUUCUGUGCCGUAGCUAACGCAUUAAGCGCCCCGCCUGGGGAGUACGGCCGCAAGGCUAAAACUCAAAGGAAUUGACGGGG